GCCGCCUCCACCUCCCCUCCUGCCGCCGCCGCCGCCUCAGCCUCGGCCGGGCCGUGCUAUGCCGGCGCCCGUCGGCCUUGAUCCGGCCUCGCAGGAGGAGCUCGCCCUCAAGAAGGACUCGACAGGAGGAGGGGAGCAGUGCCUCUUCUCCUCCCCUUCGCUCUUCUCCUCCUCACGUUCUAGAUUGGGCACAAGUCACCACCAUACAAGAGCAUGGGUUGCAUGAUCUUCAUGGUGGGCGUGGUGGAGCAAGGAGGGAGGAGGAUAGCGAUGGGGGAAGGAGAAGCAAGGUUGGAGCUCCAGGCUCUACGUUGGCGUGCCGCUGGAGUGGAUGAGUGGUCGUCCGUUGCGCGCCGGCCGUCGUCCCCGUCCCCAAUCUGGGCUGCCUAGGUUUUACUGUUGUUCUCUGCAAAAUCAGCGUGAGUGCUUGAUGUUACCUCCAUCAGCUGAUGAGGCGAGGCUGCUGCUGCUGAAAAAUGGUGCUGCUACCGGAGGCAGUGGAGAGGCAUUCCGUGGACCAACUGUGGUGUGGUUCAGAUAGUCCAAGGAGUGGAAACUAUAACCUUGUCAAAUUCUACACAUAGCCAUUAUGACGACACAUUUAUGCGAUAGAUUGUCAAUAUUUAAGUUGAUACACUAAAGACGGAGAUGUGGAAAGCUUGCCACGGAGGCACACAGGCUUGCUGAUUCUGUUUUGGAUUUGUCCUUGAGAGGAGGCCGAAGCAAACUUCAACAGGCAUCAGGCCUUGUGGUCGGUUGCCAUUGUUGUGCAGUAAUUUCUCUCCGAAACACUCGUCCAAAUUUAUGAUUGGUUUCGCUGGCGCUGCAUGUAAGUGAGAUCUACUUAUUGUUCUAUUGGCUUUGCUCCGAUGAGUUCUUCCCCAUAUACCUCUUUGAUGAUUUUGCCACCAUAUGGUCGACCUGGUCUUAUCAAGGUUUAUCAUGGUUUUCGUGGUAGUGUGACUGGCUCACAGUACAUAAUUGUCUGCCUUCUCCACCAAAUGUAUGUGUUAUGAUAUUUUGUAAGGCUAGGCACACCCUAGGUUGUUUAAUGCUUUUGAUCUAGCUUGUUAUGAGAUAAUUAAACAAUCGUGUUUAUUUGCUCACGAGCAAGAUGAUGAUUUCAAGCCAAUGACUAUUUGCCCCUUUUAGAGUUUCUACCAUUUAAUUGUGUUGUUAUUUCCCUUAAUAGAAUAUUUGCUAAUGGUUAGACUACCUUGCGGUUAUUAUUCCUAUGGGCAAACAAAUAUAUGAUUAUUAAUAUUGCAUAGCUUGAACAAAAGCACAUGACCUGUCUUCUGCAUUGGUGGCUAAAAUUGAGAUACUUAUGCUUGUUGAUGCCUUCCCUUUUGUAGUAAAAUCCAUGCUUCUAGCGUAUGUAGACGCCUCUGGCGUCGAACUGAAGAGACGAGGAAGAAAGGGGAUACACAAGCUCGUUGGAUCCACUCGCUGCCGCUUCAUAUUCAGCUCUUCACGGGUCACGACUGUCGCUAUUCGUGGGCCGGGCUAAAUAACAUAUGGGCCAUCGAAAUACUUAUCUCCAUAUACGCAGAACAGAAAGAUCAAAAAUCUCACAAUGGAAGACAUGGACAUUGGCAUCGUCUGUGAGACGGUUCCCCAGGAUCAGCAGCAUCAAGGACAGCAACGCCUGCGCCCAAUGAGAAUGACUAUCUGAUAGUAAUUCCUUAAGCCCACAUAUUCGCCCUGGUGCUGAAAGCUCUGAAGUUACCCCCCGCAACUUAUUAUCACAAGAUAUGCCCAGGCGGAAAGAAUCGUGUGACGGUUACUUUCAUUUCUUCUUUGGAAUUGCUCGAUGGUGCACUUGUUCCAAGUUCUCUGUCAGGUGCAAUCUUAGAUAGCUAUGAAGAUGCUGAAGACAGUGCUGCUAUUGAAGCUAUUAGAUACAUGGAAAAUGCAUAUGGCAAAGAAAUGAGGGACUACCACUACACUCAUGUCAAGAAGCUUCAAAAUCAAGUGACGCACCUGGUCAAAUGGCUGGUUGCAUCAAAUAAAACAAUCAAGAAGCUGUGCAAAACAUGCUACUACGCUGUCAGGUAUAUGAGCUCAUAUUCUGCCCAAAUAGAAAACACAACGACUGCUCGGCAUUUGAAAGGGCGGGAUAGCAAAGGGAGUUAUGAAAACAGCGCUGGCAAGCAUUGAAGGACUGACGCAGAGGCUACGCUACAUUGCUAUGAAGUUUGAGCAGCGCCUCGAAGCAACCAGAAAUAGUUUCUGGUGAGAUUUGGUCAAUGUGUCCUGACGUAUCGAUCAGACAAGGAUCUUUCGCAUUUUGGCGUACUCCAAGCAAGAUAUGUGUACGCUUUAGUCUUAACUUGCUGCCUCUAUGCUGAAAAGUAGUGUAUGAUAUAGUCUACGAUCUUUAAACUUUGUUGUUAUCUCUGUACUCAGAAGCGGGUUAUCAUCGCUUACUGUAUAUAUGUGAAGGCCUCUUCUUCUGCUAUUCUUUCCA